rnacentral:rRNA from 1 species
ACGCUCGACACCUACGGGGCAGCAGUGGGGAAUAUUGCACAAUGGGGGAAACCCUGAUGCAGCGACGCCGCGUGAGCGAAGAAGUAUUUCGGUAUGUAAAGCUCUAUCAGCAGGGAAGAAACUGACGGUACCUGACUAAGAAGCACCGGCUAAAUACGUGCCACAGCCGCGGUAAUCUGAGCGGGCUGGCAAGGC